rnacentral:lncRNA from 1 species
GUUAUUGUAUUGCCUAUUAACAUUGUGUAAAGAUUGUAAAAGCAAUCAUGUUUGCAAAAGACUGCUUGAAGAUUAUACACGAGAUUCAUGAGAUGGAGUCUGAUUAAUGACAUACAAUGCCCUUUAUGUGAGAGUAAGGAUGAAAGUAGUGAUUACAUAUUCUUCAAAAUGUGACUUGUCUGCUGGUAUAUGGGGCAAGCUGUUGGUAUGGCAAGAGUACAACAGAGGGUUUAUGAAGUGGACUGAAGAAUUGGC